rnacentral:rRNA from 1 species
AUUGAACGCUGGCGGCAUGCCUUACACAUGCAAGUCGAACGGUAGCAGGUCUUCGGAUGCUGACGAGUGGCGAACGGGUGAGUAAUACAUCGGAACGUGCCCAGUCGUGGGGGAUAACUACUCGAAAGAGUAGCUAAUACCGCAUACGAUCUGAGGAUGAAAGCGGGGGACCUUCGGGCCUCGCGCGAUUGGAGCGGCCGAUGGCAGAUUAGGUAGUUGGUGGGAAAAAAGCUUACCAAGCCGACGAUCUGUAGCUGGUCUGAGAGGACGACCAGCCACACUGGGACUGAGACACGGCCCAGACUCCUACGGGAGGCAGCAGUGGGGAAUUUUGGACAAUGGGCGAAAGCCUGAUCCAGCAAUGCCGCGUGCAGGAUGAAGGCCUUCGGGUUGUAAACUGCUUUUGUACGGAACGAAAAAGCUUCUCCUAAUACGAGAGGCCCAUGACGGUACCGUAAGAAUAAGCACCGGCUAACUACGUGCCAGCCGCCGCGGUAA